rnacentral:SRP_RNA from 2 species
GCUGGGUGUAGUGGCGCACACCUGUAAUCCCAGCUACUCAGGAGGCUGAGGCAGGUGAAUUGCUUGAACCCAGGAGGUGAAGGUUGCGGUGAGCUGAGAUCGGGCCACUGCACUCCAGCCUGGGUGACAGAGCAAGACUCUAUCUCAA